UGGCAACAGACAUGGAUAAAAGAGGAUAAACAUUUGAUAAAGGCAAAUGGGAAAAAAUCUCUACCUUCAGGGUGUAAUAAAUAUGGCCAUGUGGAGCUCUUUCUGGAUCCUCACUGUGAGAACGCAGUGGAACUCCUGGAGAAACACAUAAAAAUGUAUGCCCUCCCUAAGACUGCAACUCCCAGGAAUUUCUCACUCGUACACUAAUGUACACUCAGCCCCCAACAAAGUCAAAAGACCAUAUAAGUGUUUCUCCCAUUUUAGGUUUCAGCAGCUUCUUUUCCAGAGUCCAUGAAGAAGAAAAGAGAGACAUUAAAAGAAUACACUCAGAGCCUAAUAAGGCAGUAAAAUAAUGGGAAAUUGCCACAAGAAAUGGUGGAGAGAACGCACUACAGAUGGUCCCCAACUUACAAGGCUUUGGCUUACAAUUUUUUCACUUUACAAUGAUGUAAAAGCAAUGUGCAUUCAGUAAAAACCUCACUUCCAA